AGAAACGGAUGACUUGGUACAGAUUGCGAUGAAAAACGAAGGAGAGCAAGUACAAUAGUCUUGGUAAAGUG
rnacentral:rRNA from 14 species